AACGAACGCUGGCGGCGUGGAUAAGACAUGCAAGUCGAACGGGACUUUUUUCUGUAGCAAUACAGUGAAAAGUCUAGUGGCGAACGGGUGCGUAACACGUGAGCAACCUGCCGUGAAGUGGGGGAUAGCUCGCCGAAAGGCGAAUUAAUACCGCAUGUGGCCAAGGAAGACAUCUUCCUGACGCCAAAGCCGGGGCAACCUGGCGCUUCUCGAGGGGCUCGCGGCCUAUCAGCUUGUUGGUGAGGUAACGGCUCACCAAGGCUAUGACGGGUAGCUGGUCUGAGAGGACGACCAGCCACACUGGAACUGGGACACGGUCCAGACACCUACGGGUGGAAGCAGUCGAGAAUUUUUCACAAUGGGGGAAACCCUGAUGGAGCGACGCCGCGUGGAGGAUGAAGGUUUUCGGAUUGUAAACUCCUGUCAUUAGAGAACAAGGCACACGGUUUAACUGGCCGUGUGUUGAUAGUAUCUGAAGAGGAAGAGACGGCUAACUCUGUGCCAGCCGCCGCGGUAA
rnacentral:rRNA from 1 species